UCGUUUGAAAUUCACAAUAAACAAAUAUCCAAAAGUCACUAUUCAACGCAUUUUAGAAAAUUAAAAAAAAAUAUCGCUACUGAAUUAUUAUUCUCCGCGAAUUAAAGCUGAUACCAUUCGGAUUCUGAUUAAUAAUUCUAUCUAUUAAAAAAUUAUCGAAAUCAGUUACUUAUGGGGCAUAAACCGCAUUGAAGCCAGAUGGUUGAGAAUUAACACCAAAAUAAAUCAAAUGAGCACCUUCGAAAAAGUAUGAAAAUAGAUUAAUUUCAAAAUAACUAACAGUGAAUUAAGAACAUGCAUCAUGCAGGUAACAUGUGAUGAAUAAUGGUCAUAUUAUUACUUGUGAUGAAACACGUCCCGCUGCAACAAGGAAUCCAUCAUCUAUUAAUUUAUAGGACAUGAAGGUAUAAUUGCUACAAGAUAACUGAAAAUAACGUAUAUUAGAUGACAAA